rfam:Picea glauca, whole genome shotgun sequence.
UGUGAUAGCAAGCUCGGUGGGAUAAGUGGGCUUGAUUGCAAGGAAAACUCCAUAGUUAAGCGCACUUGAGUCAGAGGAGUCUUGGGAUGGGUGACCUCUUGGGAAGUCAUGUUACCACGU